CCUCCCACCUCGGCCUCCCAAAGCACUGGGACUACAGGCAUGAGCCACCACACCCAGCCAGAACCUGAGUUUUCAAUGUUUUCAUAAAUGGAUUUCACUGGUGUACCAUGUGCACUACACAUGUGAUCUCCAGUGUGAUGUCUUCAGCAGAGCGCUCUCAACCCUGGAGACGGCAGAACCGAGACCCUCCACGCCCAUUCCCAGCAACGGGCCAGGGCCACAGAGGAAGAAUCGCCCCUGAACUCUCAGAAUCCUAAAGCUUCAAUGGAUUCGAAGUUCCAGGAGGAGGAUGGAGGUGCUUUCAAGGUGGGAGAAGGUGCAAAAAGCAAGUCCCUGGGUGCCUUGCAGAGAAGGCGGUGGUUGUAUACAGUUAAAAUUUUCAGCUAUGUUGCAUAUAAUACAGCUUUAUUAUUGAAAUUGUAAGUAACAGUAUAUAAUUUAGUUGUGUUAUUUAAAGUAACUAUAUGUACUAUAAAGUAACU